UAGUUGUAAGGCUAAAAUGACUUUAUUUAUACAAAGAGAUUAAAACAUUGCCAGCAACUUACAGCCAUAAAUACCAUCAGAUUUAGAAGGUUCUUCACAGGAUUGUUCUAAGGAUUAAAUAAGAGAACAGCUACAAAGCACUUAGCACCAUUUGCAGUACUUAGAAAUCUAUCAGAGUACAGCUAGUACCCUUCCUACUGAUUCUCUGUAUUUUAGUAAAAUCUGAUGAGAAAUCAAUUGCAAACAUAAUUUCUCAUCAGAUUUCAGAUAAAAACCCAAUUCCUUCCCUUGGUUCUCUAAAUCAUGCACAUCUGUCCUCCACCUGCUUCUGAAGCUCCAACCUCCUCCCUCACCAUAUUGCAGCCAUAGUAGCCUUUCUCAUCCAAAUUAAAAGUUGAGACUAGCCAACCAACUGCCUAUCUGAUAAAGAAGUGUCUACCUAGGGAUAACUUACAGUCCCUGGAUCUGUGAAAGCACAGCAUGCACAUUUCAUAGAGAACUGACCUAUAGUCAUACAUAUAUACAUACAUACACAUAUAUAUAUAUAUUUUAGACAGAGUUUUGCUGUCACCCAGGCUGGAGUGCAGUGGCACGAUCUCGGCUCACUGCAACCUCCACCCCUUGGGUUCAAGGAAUUCUCGUGCCUCAGCCUCCCGAGUAGCUGGGAUUACAGGCGCCUGCCACUAUGCCCGGCUAAUUUUUGUAUUUUUAGUACAGACGGGGUUUUGCCAUGUUGGCCAGGCUGGUAUCAAACUCCUGACCUCAAGCAAUCCACCCACCUCAGCCUCCCAAAGUGCUAGGAUUACAGGCAUGAGCCACUGCGCCAGGCCCCUUAUAAUCAUUUUAAUGUGAACUUUGCUAGCUCUAGGACCAAUGAAAGUUUAAGUGAGCAAAUCCCUAUGCUAGAAACCAGGGGCUAAGGAAGAAAUAAAAAAGUAGACAUCUGGGGAAAGGCAUUGCCUCUCAAUGGUUCUUUUUUGUUUUUGAGAUGGAGUUUCGCUCUUGUUGCCUAGGCUGGAGUGCAAUGGUGCAAUCUCAGCUCACCACAACCUCUGCCUCCCAGAUUCAAGUGAUUCUCCCUGCCUCAGCCUCCCGAGUAGCUGGGAUUACAGGCAUGCGCCACCAAGCCCAGCUAAUUUUGUAUUUUAGUAGAGAUGGGAUUUCCCCAUGUUGGUCAGGCUGGUCUCGAACUCCUGACUUCAGGUGAUCCACCAGCCUCAGCCUCCCGAAGUGCUGGGAUUACAGGAGUGGGCCACUGCACCCAGCCUCAAUGUUUCUUAAUCUUGAGCAUGUAUCAUAAUCACAUAGGCUUCUUAAAAUACAGCUUGCUGGGACCUACACCCAGAAGUUUCUGGUUCAAAAGGUCUGGGAUGGAGCCAGAGAACCCUCAUUUAUUUUUUAUUUUUCUGAACCUACGGAUUAUACUAAAACUUUUAUUUCUAGUAAGUCCC
rnacentral:lncRNA from 10 species